GAGUUUGAUCAUGGCUCAGAUUGAACGCUGGCGGCAUGCCUUACACAUGCAAGUCGAACGGCAGCACGGGGGCUUGCUCCUGGUGGCGAGUGGCGAACGGGUGAGUAAUGCAUCGGAACGUAUCCUGGAGUGGGGGAUAACGUAGCGAAAGUUACGCUAAUACCGCAUAUUCUGUGAGCAGGAAAGCGGGGGACCUUCGGGCCUCGCGCUCUUGGAGCGGCCGAUGUCGGAUUAGCUAGUUGGUGAGGUAAAGGCUCACCAAGGCGACGAUCCGUAGCAGGUCUGAGAGGAUGAUCUGCCACACUGGAACUGAGACACGGUCCAGACUCCUACGGGAGGCAGCAGUGGGGAAUUUUGGACAAUGGGGGCAACCCUGAUCCAGCCAUGCCGCGUGAGUGAAGAAGGCC
rnacentral:rRNA from 1 species